CAGGGAGACAAUUCAGACAGUGAUGCUUGACCAAUUUGAUGUUAAGCCAGUGUCCUGUCACUCUAGGUCGAUCGGUACCUCAGCUUUGAAGGCAGAGAAACUUAUUUUGAUCAUGUGGUAUUGAAAGAUGUGAUGUUGAUGGGAUUGGGUUUGAGACUGCUGGAGAUUUUCGUUUCUAAACGUUGUCUAGGUCACCCCAUAGCGGGUUUCACCUCCUGGGCCAUUAGCUCAGGUGGUUAGAGCGCACCCCUGAUAAGGGUGAGAUCCCUGGUUCAAGUCCAGGAUGGCCCAUUCGAAGCAUGAAGACACCGACGAGAGCUGAACGCCAGUUCAGUGAUCACCUGUUGUUGUGAUGAUUGGGGGUUUAGAUCAGUUGGUAGAGCGCCUGCUUUGCAAGCAGGAUGUCAGCGGUUCGAGUCCGCUAACCUCCACUGACCAACCCCUGAGAUCGAGGGCCGAACCGGGAGGUUUCAGCGCUGAGGUGACAUAGACGAGAUUGUUCGCUGAGAAUUCAGCCUCUGCUCAUUCCCGAGAGGGUUGAGCGGAUGCUGGAUUCAACAAAUCAGGGGAUGAAAGCAUGAGCUGAGGCGCAAGCCGAGGCGAGGGUGGAGUCCGUUGGUUUGCUGAGGUUCAGCAGAACCUUGACAACUGCAUAGGUGAGUCUGGAAAGACAAAGCAUCUCAUGGAUGUGAGUCAGACAGCAGUCAAUUGAAGCGUAAGCUGAGAUUGACGAGAGAUUGAUUCAGCAUUCUAUUUUGAGAGCCGAGACCUUCUAGCGUACUUCCGAACCUGCCGAGGGUAAGGGAGUUAGAUCCAGGUUUGCUUGCAAACUUGAGAGAAUAGGCCUCAACAGCCUGAAGCGUUAGGAGGGUUAAUU
rnacentral:tRNA from 1 species